GCAGAGAGGAAAGAAGAUGUACACUGGGUGAAGAGCUCCAGUGGCCACGGAAGUGGCCAGAAGAUGCAGGGAUCAAGAAAGAAGAUGCCUGGGAUCAGCUGGAGGAAGAAAAGAACAUGUGCCGCUGCUGACCAUGAAAGAACAGAGCAUUACGACACACACUAGAGGUCUAACCAGCUGGAUCAGGAAGAGAAUGAGGCAGUGACAGUGACAAGAGCACAUGUGACAUCACUGGGCAUAAACAGUCCCGGUUUCCAUGGUGAUGGGAUACACUUCUAGUACACCCCCCACCACCACAUCCCUGGCGCCAGCCUCUGGAUGCAGCAGAGCAGGUCAUCGGAGAAGCACCAGCUCUAUGCAAUGACGUUAGCGGUACUGGCGCGGUAGUACCAAGAGGCAUUUUGAGC